GUGCCAGCAGCCGCGGUAAUACGUAGGUGGCAAGCGUUAUCCGGAAUUAUUGGGCGUAAAGCGCGCGUAGGCGGUUUCUUAAGUCUGAUGUGAAAGCCCACGGCUCAACCGUGGAGGGUCAUUGGAAACUGGGAGACUUGAGUGCAGAAGAGGAAAGUGGAAUUCCAUGUGUAGCGGUGAAAUGCGCAGAGAUAUGGAGGAACACCAGUGGCGAAGGCGACUUUCUGGUCUGUAACUGACGCUGAUGUGCGAAAGCGUGGGGGAUCAAACAGGAUUAGAUACCCUGGUAGUCC
rnacentral:rRNA from 1 species